rnacentral:rRNA from 1 species
UACGUAGGGUGCGAGCGUUGUCCGGAAUUAUUGGGCGUAAAGAGCUUGUAGGCGGUUUGUCGCGUCUGCUGUGAAAAUCCGGGGCUCAACCCCGGACUUGCAGUGGGUACGGGCAGACUGGAGUGUGGUAGGGGGAGACUGGAAUUCCUGGUGUAGCGGUGGAAUGCGCAGAUAUCAGGAGGAACACCGAUGGCGAAGGCAGGUCUCUGGGCCACUACUGACGCUGAGGCGCGAAAGCUAGGGGAGCGAACAGG